GCAGGGGCCUCGGGGCCGGCAGGAUUGGCUUCAGGGUCGGCUGGGGGAACGGCUUCAUCCUCCAGAAGCUUCGCGAGGGCCUCCGCCGGCGCAGUCACCGCGGAGUCGAUCUCGUCCAGCUCAGCGUCGGUGUAGCCGAUGCAAUACCCCUCACUCAUCCCGACAAAGUUAAUGUCGGCAUAGUGAGAGCCGAAGACCCCGAAGGCACGCCGCACACCAAGGUGAAGCGCAUCCACGGCAAUCUCACGACGACGACGGCGCACCUCAAGAACACGGGCCGGCAGCGAGCUCGAC
rnacentral:lncRNA from 1 species